ACUCUUGUUCUCUCAAACCCAGUCAUUUGACCUCUGUCUCAGCCCCCUACUCCCCUUGAGACAAAACUGAAAACCCAGGGACCAGGCCUCAACGCACUCUGAUCUCUGUCCAAAUUUCCGAUCUCGAACUCCCACCCUAGGCUCACCUCCCCAUCGUCUCCUCCUCACCGCGCUAACGGCUAUCUUCUCACGCGUAUCCGCUAAGGCCAAGCCGGCUUCUACCCAUGUUUGCAGAGCAAGCCAGCCAUAGUCGCCAAAGCACCACGGUCGAAGCUCCAAUCCCCGAUCGAUAUCAACGCUCCUCCGCCGCUACUCCCCGCGUUGUGGAGAAGGAAGAAGACGAAUUUCCCAAUGGAAUGUUCCUUAUAUAAAAACCCCUCACUCACGCUCUCCUCUAUGACUCUCUCUCUUUGAGUGUGCUAAAUGUGCUCGUUGGCUGCCAGAUGAUAAUGGCUAUCCAAAAGCUAGCCAUAUAUCAGCUGAAAAGCUAUCUAACAAUAGCCGAGCCCUGCAGUUCAUUAAUUUGAUCCAAGAAGCCAAGAUACGAAGCAAAAAUCUUGUUAAGUUUGUGGAAUCUCAUAAUCAGCUUGAGUACCGGAUGGAGUGGGCUGGGUUUUUAAUUUCAAUUGCAAAAAUCUGCAGAUCUUGGCUGUUGCUAAGGUAGGAAGUGUUCAAUUUUCCAAAUAUGCAACCUAUUCUAUGUUUCAAUAAUUCCUACCUCCAGCUUAUGACUUUAUGUUUCUCUUAUUGGAUUCUUGUUCUUUGACCUAUCAUUUUGUUACAUACGUGGUCAAUGAAAAAGAUCACCGUCAGUUCUAACCCUUUUCCAGAAGGUAAUUGCUUUUGCUUAGCUCAUCAUUUAUUUUUACAGAUCUGUUAGUAUUAGUCGAGUCCAAUAUGUGCAUAUGAGGUACUUAUUGCUCAUGAAGUCAUGUUUUUUUUUUUUCAUUGUGUAAUGAGAAUUUGAGGCCUAUUGAUUUCUUGUCUUUUAAACUAUCACAUUUUGUAGGUUUAUUUAUCGAUUCUGAAAAAUUUUAUGUUUGCGUUCUGUUAAUUUAGAGGGAUUAGAAGUCAAACUGUUAUCACAAGGAAGGGCAUUAGGUGUCAUGUACAUAUAGGGAUACUCUGUAUGUGCUGAUACUUUGAGCCAUCCAGAUUGUUGUGUCACAAAUACCAUAUUUCCAUAACAUGCAUGUAAUGGCUUUCAGUUAUUGCAGCAAUCAUGUCCUUUGCCAAAGUAAUAGAUUUGGUCAACAAUCUUGGUACCAUUGCAAGGUCUGGCACCAAGAAAUUCAUGGAAACCUUGGCUACUAGAUCUGAUGUUAGCAUGAUUGGUCAGUUUGGUGUUGGAUUCUACUUUGCAUAUCAUGUUGUUGAGAAGGAAGAGGAAGUUGAUGAAGAGAAGGAAGUGGGCAUGUUUCUGGCCUUGAUUUUUUUGACAUUUAUGUUUAGGCAGGGUUAGUAUGUUCAUGUUAAUGUUGGGAUAUGAAUACUGCUGAUGGAAUUUGUAUGUUUUGGAAUCAAUGGAAAGUUUUUGGAAUCAA